UAUCUCACUCCCAAACCUUCUCUCUCCUUCUUUCAAAGCUUAGGAGGACCAGAGAUUCCCUUGUUCAUGGCUGUAGAGGACAUGUAGGAGCAUCAUUCAGGGGCUCACUCCAAGCAUGUAUUAUACCUCUUCUGGGGAUUCAAGGAGAGGAGGUCAUGGCCAGAGCUUGGUGCGCACCCACACAAUCUUGCAGAGAAAUUCAAGACUGGAUGGCACUUGUGACUUCUGAAGUAUUAAAUGUAUAGCAUGGGAACAAAGCUUCUCUGAGGUAGGAUGCUGGGGACAUGGAA
rnacentral:lncRNA from 1 species